rnacentral:rRNA from 1 species
CCCUGAUCCAGCCAUGCCGCGUGUGUGAAGAAGGUCUUCGGAUUGUAAAGCACUUUAAGUUGGGAGGAAGGGCAUUAACCUAAUACGUUAGUGUUUUGACGUUACCGACAGAAUAAGCACCGGCUAACUUCGUGCCAGCAGCCGCGGUAAU